CCUACGGGUGGCAGCAGUCGAGAAUCAUUCACAAUGGGGGAAACCCUGAUGGUGCGACGCCGCGUGGGGGAAUGAAGGUCUUCGGAUUGUAAACCCCUGUCAUGUGGGAGCAAAUUAAAAAGAUAGUACCACAAGAGGAAGAGACGGCUAACUCUGUGCCAGCAGCCGCGGUCAUACAGAGGUCUCAAGCGUUGUUCGGAAUCACUGGGCGUAAAGCGUGCGUAGGCUGUUUCGUAAGUCGUGUGUGAAAGGCGCGGGCUCAACCCGCGGACGGCACAUGAUACUGCGAGGCUAGAGUAAUGGAGGGGGAACCGGAAUUCUCGGUGUAGCAGUGAAAUGCGUAGAUAUCGAGAGGAACACUCGUGGCGAAGGCGGGUUCCUGGACAUUAACUGACGCUGAGGCACGAAGGCCAGGGGAGCGAAAGGGAUUAGAUACCCCGGUAGUC
rnacentral:rRNA from 1 species